UUGCAUUAGAAUUAGAAUCUAAUUACACUAAAAUUACACCCUUUUCUAUACUUAUAACAAUU
rnacentral:tRNA from 2 species